AAAGCAAUCUUUUCAUCUUCUCCGACGGCCUCUCCAUUUUUGUCUGUUGAAGCAUUUGACCGACAUCAAAUUCAGGCAAUAUUGUUUACCACCACAUUGUUUUUAUUUUCUAACUAUUUAGUAGCAACUAUAUAUUAAGAUUCCUCUACUUAUUGGAAUAUGAUGAAUCAGGUCUGAACAUUGUUCAUACGGAUUAUUAGGGAAGGAAACAUCGAAUUGCCAAGCUGCGGAAUCGAUUGAUUGCAGAAUUUGUAUGGGAACCGAAUGAUCUUUGCGCAGUACGUUUGCAAGAGUAGGUGUGCUAUUGGAAGUGCAACAAUAAGGUGAGUUUGCUUAAAUCUAUUGCGCUUCAAUGGGAAUUGAUCUUUUUCCCAAACCGGGAUAGUUUUACAUUUGAAUGCCUUGGUACUGGAAAGUUAUAUUUCUUUAAGUAUUGUUUUGCUAGAACAAUAUGAUAGAAAUGACUUCUUAUUAAACUUGGAAUUAAGAGGGUACAUAUCAAUAUGGAAUAACAAAACAGAAAAUAUUUUAAGAUAUUGUGGUAAACACGAAAAUCUCUUCAAGCUUCCAAUAAACCCAUGGCCAAACAUGCAUCCUUGUAAGACUCAUACACCACACCAUCAAAAGUCCUCAACUCUUCAUCACUUCUAGGACCCUUCAGAAAACGGAAAAGUAAUUUCAAGCUCAUAUUACCAUCAAACUUACUUGGCAUAUAAGAUGUUCUUCUAUUCUUGAUUGUUCUCAUUCUUCUUCUGAAGGUUUUCUCUUUUGGCUGCCAAGUAAAAAACUGUGGUAUCUCUUCGAAAGUUAGGUUUCUAGCUUCUGCUGAAUCUCUGUUUAGUUUGAACCAUGCUUGGAUCAUUGUAUCUUUCUCAGCAGACAAAGUAAUACCAAGCAAACUCAAUAUCGAUGGCACAAAUUGUAGCAAGGACCCUAAAUUUUCCUUCCUGCAAUAUAAAUGUUUUCAUUCUAUA